ACUAUUUGAGAGUUUGAUCCUAGCUCAGGGUGAACGCUGGAAAUGUGGAUACCGGCAUGCAAGUCAAGGGGCCG
rnacentral:rRNA from 1 species